GACGAACGCUGGCGGCGUGCUUAACACAUGCAAGUCGAACGGUGAAGCUCCAGCUUGCUGGAGUGGAUCAGUGGCGAACGGGUGAGUAACACGUGAGCAACCUGCCCCUGACUCUGGAAUAAGCGCUGGAAACGGCGUCUAAUACUGGAUACGAGAAGGGUCCGCAUGGGCACUUUCUGGAAAGUUUUUCGGUUGGGGAUGGGCUCGCGGCCUAUCAGCUUGUUGGUGAGGUAAUGGCUCACCAAGGCGACGACGGGUAGCCGGCCUGAGAGGGCGACCGGCCACACUGGGACUGAGACACGGCCCAGACUCCUACGGGAGGCAGCAGUGGGGAAUAUUGCACAAUGGGCGAAAGCCGGAUGCAGCGACGCCGCGUGAGGGAUGACGGCCUUCGGGUUGUAAACCUCUUUCAGCAGGGAAGAAGCGAAAGUGACGGUACCUGCAGAAGAAGCACCGGCUAACUACGU
rnacentral:rRNA from 1 species